GCCAGGCGAGGUGGCGCUUGCCUCUAAUCCCAGUAACUUGGGAGGCUGAGUCAGGAGGAUUGUGAGUUCAAAGUCAGCCUGAGCAAUAGUAAGGCACUUAGCAACUCAGUGUCUAAAUAAAUAAACUGUCUCUA
rnacentral:sRNA from 1 species